rnacentral:lncRNA from 1 species
UUCGCCUUCCCCUUCGCCUUUCCCUUGGCUGCCGCCACCUUGCCACCAGCUCCGCCUCCGCGCGGCUUUUUCCCCGGCAGACCGGCAAGGUCGUUGGUCCCAAAGAAAUAGCAGUAGGUGAAGUUGGCCCAUGCCAGAUGGCCCGCGACAGCAAACCAGUCAGGGAAAUCGCCGCCGUCCUCAUCUUCGAACACGGGCCGCGGCAGCUCCCGGCCCGAGACCAAGGCGCUGGUGCACCCUAGCACGUGCUCCUUGGCGCCAUCCCACAGGGGCGAGGGAAACGUCCACGUCAGCAGCUGCAGCACAUACGGCACGCGGGAUGGGGUGGGUCUACGACCGUGCCGUAGCCCGGUUUGGACCAUGCCGUAUCCUGCCCGUGCGAGUGGCCUCCCAUGCACCCAACCGCCCAACUAGCACCCGCACCUCCUGUACUGCAGCGCAGUAUUCCGCCGCAAUGAUGAGGAGCUGGAAGUCGCAAGGGUCCCAAGGCUUGUCCGGUAGGCAGCCCGGGGGUGGUAUUGUCUCCUCUGCCUUCCCCUCUUCAUCCAGGACGACCUAUGGCAACAACCAGUGGCAUAGUGUUUGUGGUAGUGCAGCGUGUGUCACCAGGUGUAGUACUGGGACUGUGGAGUGGGGAGCUAAAACAGCUCCGCACGGCUACAUCGCCUCACCACAAUUCCAAGCUUGUAGCCACCUCCAACAUUUUUAGUAAACGGAGGACAAGAACCUCCGCGUGGCCCUGGCCCUGGCGCCAUUGCACGAGAAAGCUAGGAGUUGGGCCUGGCCAGGCCCAGCGCAAGACAGCGUCCGUAUGUAUUCUGGACCUGUGCUUCGUGCUUAAGAUGUGUACGAAGCAGCCGAGAGCAGUAGAACGAGAGCAGUCGACCGCAAAUAGACCGAGAACAAAUAGUUCUCUUGUUGAAUCUGAGAGACCAGUCGUGCUCGUCUAAGCAACGUUUACGGCAGAAACACAGUCCUCCAAGUAAUCGCUUGAAGUGGGCUCAGCAAGGUGAAGCGGAGGAUUGCAAUGGGGGCCCCGCGCUUGUUUUGGAGAUUUGCAUCCAGCCGAUGCGUGGCUUAGACGUCACAAAGGUAACACAGGCUUUGAGUCGGAGCCCGAGUUGGUCAGGGCCCGUGUGCGGCGCAUGCGAUGCGUAACCUGGAACGCGCCAAACACAACAAAGGUGCUAGCAGGCUGGAUGAUAGUCAGCGUUACGUGAGGCCACCUAUAAGUAUUACAACUAGCCAAGCAGCUAGCCAAGGCAGUCAUGUCCGCGUACGUGCCAUCGCAGUUGCCUUGCUGCUAGGCAGAGCUUGCCACAAGCGCCACGCACCGCCCCGUGGCCCUUCAUAUUAGGGGAGGGCAUACCUCCCUUGCUUCAAACAUUUCGUUGGGGUGGAGGUUCCAGAGUACAGGGGAUGCCAACGGGACUCCUCCCGCUGGGGCCUCGCCGGGGUCCCGCUGGUCCAAGCCCUGCCACACUGACACGCAGCAGCUUGAACGUGCCUCCCAGCACCAUGGAUGCCCCUACCCGGCACCAGCCCAGAGGUGUUUUCACGAUUACCCUUGCAGCAGCUGACCAGCCUGAAGUCAUCCUCUACACGCACCUCCUCUCAUUGGUGCCUGGUACCACUAUUAUGGCAGUGGAUCAAAGUGCUCCAGGUCCCAUACACCAGCAACCCUUGCAGCAACCAUCAACUUAGCCCAUGAGCCCAGCUACCCGAGCCUCGUGGUUGGACAAGAUAUGGGCAGGCUGCGAUGCUUUGUGGAGAAGGGCAUGCGGCGUUGCCAUGCUGUCCCGCGGAGAAGAAAGCAGAGUCCGGGUGGGGGGUGGGGUGGGGGUGGGGGUGGGGGGGGGAAACGAGGCCGGCGUCGCCGAGCUGGUACCUCCCGCCAAAGUUCGCAACUGUGCAUUUCUGCGUACAUCAACGAUAUGCAUGGAUAUUUGUUUUCGAUAUCUACGUGCAAGCCUUUGUCUUUGCGAUCGGUCGAGUUGGCUUUACAUUUUCAUGCUCGCGUGCUUUCAGACAACCUGAUCUGUGCUACCUGUGAAAUGCGAUGUAGGUUAUAGCUACGUGCAUUUUCGCGCCAGACAAUGAAGCGCAGUUAUUGGCCUCGUUCAUACGCUGCGCUCGCUCUCGCGCCCUGGGACCAAGAUCACGUAUAGAGGAAGCUAUGAUCAUUCGGCUAUGUCAAUGCGUUGGGCCGAAAUCGUGCUGUACGCGACGACGCACAGGAUGCGUCACACUUUCCAGAGGACCCGUAGAUAGCUGGGCCCGCCCGUGGGCUUUGUACGUGGGUGGUCUUGCGCCACGAUGCCGGAGUUGGGUGCCGGAGUCACAUCAAGGUCGCAAGAUCGAAACCCAUCAGGAACGGUUCGGCUCCGUUACCUGUGUAGGCACUGAACAUACUUGUGCCGAACUUCCCCGAACGAGCGCCAUCUCGGCCUUCCUAGGUCGCUGCUCUACGGGUGAGGACGCUGGUGCGGCGGGUUCUGAUGGUUUCCCCGCGAGAGCUAUCCUGCUUUCUAGAAGCCGGUCUGCGAGCCAGUUGGCGCUGAUGCGCCGGGGCAGGAGGAGGCCCCUGAUUAGGGAAUGUGCGUCACCCAGCGCCGAUCUGCGAGCCCGUGUUUCGAGGCGUUACCGUGGCCCAGUAUGGCCGAUGGUUGCAGACAACCCCCCUCCCCCACAUACCUAAUGACCAGCACGCGACGACACGAGCACCGUCUCCCUGUCUAUCCUACUAGUCCCUCAUCCAGCUCCAGCAAGCCCGCACACGCUACGGUUCUUGUGCUAACUCUUGCUGCGUGCCAUAAAGUGGGCCUGCGUCCGUGCCGCAGUUGCAGCGGCCUGCAUACGUGACGGCCGACCCACCCGCAAAGCGAAGCCACGUUGCGUCCUCGUGUACAUCUGGGUCUGUCCUAAGCACUCCUGACUCGCUCAUGCAUGGAACUGGUCAUUGUCGAAGGUGGAUGCGAUACGGCCUUGUCUAACCUACAACACAAUGAUGACUAGGGCCCAGUUGAGUUCCACUCGCCUGCUGUUCAACCUAGCACCUGCCAAAUACAAAGGACGCCCAUCCUGCUACAGCAGCAUCCUCUGUAACCGAAUCGUCCGCUAGGCCUCAACGGCUGCGCAUCCAGCCAGCGAGCUGCACUUCUUUUGCGCAUCCCUCCCACUCCGUCCGUUAACUAGCAGACGUGCAACCGCGCCUCCCGCUCUCCAAGCAUCCGCUCCAACGACGCAAGCGCCUCGACCAGCGCCGCAUCCCCCGCUGCCGCCCCCCCUACGCCCACCUGCUGCUGGCACCACUCCAUGUCCUUUACCAGCGCCACACGCACACGCUCCAUCAAACCCAGCAGCGGCACGGGCCCCGGCACCGGCGCCUGGCCGGCACCGGCACCCACACCCACGCCGGCGCCCACAGCUGCUGCUGCCACAGCGGCUGGUGGGGCCAGUUGCAUGCCUUGCAUAAGCUGCAGCAAGCCCGGCUCGUGUGGAUUGUCCACGUGCAUCGCCGCCACCCCGUACAGCCCUGCAGCCGGCUGCUGUGGGUACAACUGCGGCACAAACACGGCGUCUGACGCCUCCGAUGAAGCCGCGGCGGCGGCACAGCCCGCCUGGCCGGGCGGCCCUGAGGCUAACACCGGAGCCACCGGCGGCGCGCUUGCUCCUGCUGUCGCGGCCAGUCCUGUUGUGAGCGCUGCGGCUGCUGCUGCCGGCGCCAGCCGCAGCCGGCUCUGCGCUUCCACGUCCGGCCUCGGCGGCACCGGCCCCGGCGACCGCUCCUGCUGCUCCUCCUGCUCCUGCUUGACCCGCGCCUGGUACUCCGCGCGCAUCUGCACCGCCCGCUCCCCCGCCAGCUCCUCCACCACCUCCCCCAAUUUAACUAUCUUCUCAGGUGGGAUGCAGCACGGCAGUAGCAGCUGGGGCCUCGGCACGCCGGGGGGCCGCACCAGCUGCGCCGCGCACGAGCCGCUACCAGGCGCGGCGGCUACACCCGCGGCGCUCGCGGCGCCGUCGCCGUCGCCCAGCAGCGCGUACCAGACAUCGGGCGACGAUGUGGUGGCGUCCUGAUACGCCUCCAUUACCGCCGGCAUCCACACGCCGUGCACGUGCGCAAGCGCGCGCUCCCAGCCCUCCACGCAGCUGGCCAGCAGCUGCGGGAAGCCGGACGCCAGGUGCUCGGCCUCGACCGGCGGGCGGUCCUUGGUGCCGGUCUUGUGCUUCAGUACGUGCUUGUACAGGAAGGCCGGCAGGGCCGCCCCGCUGUCUGGCAGCUUGCCCCAGCCCUUCGCCGACUGUCAGGAGGGGUUGGGGGCCGACGGCAAGGUGUAUGCAUGAGCGCGUGACCGGUCGACAGCUGGUGCCGUGAACCACGGCUGCCUCCCGCCGUCUAACUACGAUGCCGGCCGCACCAACUCACCGUGCUGGACACGCUUGGUCCACCUCCUGAUGAGCCGUACCCUGCUCAAGUUUUGCCCCCUGUGCGGCUGUAGCCCCUACAGCCCAAAGUGCCUACCUGUUUAAGUGCCUUGCACACGUCGGAGAUGACCAGGAAGCCCAGCGUGCAGUUGUGGGCCUGGCCGUAGUCCGCGGGCAGGCCGCAGCAGCCCGCAGGAACGCUGCGCUCCAUCGUGGCCCCCUCCUCCGCCCCAGCCGCGGCGGCGGCGGCGGCCGGCUGCUGCUUGCCCUUUUUCUUCGCAGCCUUCAGCGAGCACUGUGGCCGAGGAGGCGACGACGCACGCCAAGCUCAGUGGGUGCGGUGCACACAAUGGCAGUGCCAAGUGCGUGCUGCCCCCUGAGCAACGACGUGCAGGGCAUUGCACGCUACGCAGUGGUCAUUCGACCAUGCCCAUACCACUGCCCACACGCCGCGACAGCUGCCUCCCCCUCCCCGCCGUACCUUGACACGGUUGUCGAUGUACCCCGAGUUGACGUGGUAGGGGUAGAUGGGGAGGAACGGCGAGCCUGCGUCCGCGCUCUUGAGCGACUUGGUCUUGUUGACUUGGCGGGCCUCCGACUCCAUCGCCUGCUGCCUUGUCCAGCCCUCGCCCAGGCUGUUGUCCAGCCACUCGCGUGUCUUCUUGGCCCACUCCCCGAUGGCGCCCGACACCUCGCCCUCUGGGUGCCACCCGUGCGUGCCCACCAGCCGGAGCAGCUACUUGUAAGCUGUAUGCUCGACCGGCUCCAUCUCAACAGGGCCUCUACCGGCUGCUGUAUCCGGCACAUCGGGAAGGUCGUUGGUCCCAAAGAAAUAGCAGUAGGUGAAGUUGGCCCAUGCCAGAUGGCCCGCGACAGCAAACCAGUCCGGGAAAUCGCCGCCGUCCUCAUCUUCGAACACGGGCCGCGGCAGCUCCCGGCCCGAGACCAAGGCGCUGGUGCACCCUA